ACCAGUCCUCUAGUCUGGGUACCAGUCCUCUAGUCUGGGUACCAGUCUGUUUAGAUAACAUUCCUCUAGUCUGGGUACCAGUCCUCUGUCUGGGUACCAGUCCUCUAGUCUGGGUACCAGUCCUCUAGUCUGGGUACCAGUCUGUUUAGAUAACAUUCUUCUAGUCUGGGUACCAGUCCUCUGUCUGGGUACCAAUCCUCUAGUCUGGGUACCAGUCCUCUAGUCUGGGUACCAGUCCUCUAGUCUGGGUACCAGUCUGUUUAGAUAACAUUCCUCUAGUCUGGGUACCAGUUCUCUAGUCUGGGUAACAUUCCUCUAGUCUGGGUACCAGUCCUCUAGUCUGGGUACCAGUCCUCUAGUCUGGGUACCAGUCUGUUUAGAUAACAUUCCUCUAGUCUGGGUACCAGUCCUCUAGUCUGUGUACCAGUCCUCUAGUCUGGGUACCAGUCCUCUAGUCUGGGUACCAGUCCUCUAGUCUGGGUACCAGUCCUCUAGUCUGGGUACCAGUCUGUUUAUUUAUUUUUUGUUGUCUUCUGCCAAAGACUUUGGAAAAGGAAAUGUGUGACAGUGUUGUUAGGUGUCACGGUCUGUUAACUUCAGCACGAAUAAAUAAAAACAGCGUUGAAUUAAUGUCUGAUAAGUGUUGGUACAAUGUGACAUCAGUGGUAGGAACAGUGGUGGGAACAGUGGAACAGGGGUGGGAACAGUGGUGGGAACAGUGGAACAGUGGUGGGAACAGUGGAACAGUGGUGGGAACAGUGGAACAGUGGUGGGAACAGUGGAACAGUGGUGGGAACAGUGGAACAGUGGUGGGAACAGUGGAACAGUGGUGGGAACAGUGGUGGGAACAGUGGAACAAACAGUGGAACAGUGGUGGGAACAGUGGAACAGUGGUGGGAACAGUGGUGGGAACAGUGGAACAGUGGUGGGAACAGUGGAACAGUGGUGAGAACAGUGGAACAGUGGUGGGAACAGUGGAACAGUGGUGGGAACAGUGGAACAGUGGUGGGAACAGUGGUGGGAACAGUGGAACAGUGGUGGGAACAGUGGAACAGUGGUGGGAACAGUGGAACAGUGGUGGGAACAGUGGUGGGAACAGUGGUGGGAACAGUGGAACAGUGGAACAGUGGUGGGAACAGUGGAACAGUGGUGGGAACACUGGUGGGAACAGUGGUGGGAACAGUGGUGGGAACAGUGUCUGUAAGUGUCAUACAACAUUUUCAAAAGAACUCUUACAACAACAA
rnacentral:lncRNA from 1 species